rnacentral:lncRNA from 1 species
GAGAGGGAAGUGUUAACUCUCAGGGGAGCCAUAAGCCCUGCCCAAGAGUAAGGAGGACGCCUCCCCUCCUUCUCCAGGUUCCUCCUUCCGAUUCUUCCCCCGGAAGCCUCUGCAAAGCCCAGUUUCCAGAACCACCAGCACUGUCCCACGUAAGGCUCACCAUGCAGAGUGGAUGGAUACAGAGAGCUUCCUUCCGCCUUAAAGAUUGUGCACCUGUUUAGCGUGGCCCCAAGGCUAGGGCUGUGCAUGUCACACACACGAAGACACUGGUGGACUGAGCUUUCUGAGCAGGUCUCGAUUCCGCCAGUCAGCAGUCUGAAAGUUCAGGAUCUCCUGAUCAGAAGCAGGACAUCCAUAUGCAGGCUGCACUGGAGGCCGCGCUUUUGAAAAGUUGAAACAAAGCACAAAGGAAGUGGUCCCCAGUCGGAUCAGGCCUGGUGGUGGAGGAGAGAACAGAGAAGGAAGCCUGCUGCUCUGAGGGAGGACCAGAAGAGUAGGCGCUAUGAGUCCUUGGCUCUUGCGCGCAGGCUGAAAUCAUCAUUGAACGGAAACAACAAACAGUAAAGAGAUGCUAGCUGCCACGCAGCAGAGAGAGAGAGAGAGAGAGACGUAGAAGAUGUCCACCCAAGCAGCAAUCUCUGGAAGCCUUCGGGUGGAUCAGGCACAGGCAGUGUUCACUCACUUCUAAUGAGCUUCAUGAUACCCAGACAGAGUCUUCAACGCAUGUUGAUCACCAGCUAUGAGUCAAAUCAAUGGCAAAGACUCCCUCAAAGCCUUGCUCUAAUGACACAAUCCUUAGCGUCUGGAUGAAUCCUCCAUCUCCUCUAGGCUUCUCCUACUCAGUCUCCCUAGUUUGCAGAAAGAUGUGGGACCUAAGGGCGGCAGGAGGGACCUUUCUUUACACUGUUACUGAUACAGGAUAAAUAACCCUCGGUUCCUUAAAC